CGCCUCCCGCAGCCCCGACGCGAGCUCCUACCUCCACUCUGAAAGUAUGACUGAGAAGGCGGUGUGGGAUGAUGCCCAUCUCAAGAAACUCAUUGAAAUAUUGAGAGAAGAGAUUGAAAAGGGGAAUAGGCCAUUAGGUUAUUUAAACAAGAGGGGUUGGGAAAACGUUUUGGAGAAAUGGGAAGCUAGAACGGGAAAGAAGUAUCCCAAGGAUAAAUUCAAAAACAAGUGGGAUGCCAUAAAAAAUGAGUACACUUGGUUCAUGGAGUUGAAAAAUGAAGCAACUGGGCUUGGAUGGGAUGAUGCGAAGAGAACCGUUGAUUGCUCUAAAGAAUGGUGGGAUGAACAUAUCAAGAGAUGCCAAGAGAGUACAGGAAAGAAAUGCAAUCAUAUGAAGUUCAAAAAAGGGGACCAAAGCACCUUGAAGAUUUGCACAUCAUAUUUGACAAAGUACAUGUUACUGGGGCUAGUGCUUCUUGUGCUGGAGAUAUAUCUUCUGAUGAAUCAAGUGAUGAUAAUGCGGUU